rnacentral:rRNA from 1 species
AACGAACGCUGGCGGCAGGCUUAACACAUGCAAGUCGAGCGCCCCGCAAGGGGAGCGGCAGACGGGUGAGUAACGCGUGGGAAUCUACCCAUCUCUACGGAAUAACGCAUGGAAACGUGUGCUAAUACCGUAUACGUCCUUCGGGAGAAAGAUUUAUCGGAGAUGGAUGAGCCCGCGUGGGCUUAGCUAGUUGGUGGGGUAAAGGCCUACCAAGGCGACGAUCCAUAGCUGGUCUGAGAGGAUGAUCAGCCACACUGGGACUGAGACACGGCCCAGACUCCUACGGGAGGCAGCAGUGGGGAAUAUUGGACAAUGGGCGCAAGCCUGAUCCAGCCAUGCCGCGUGAGUGAUGAAGGCCCUAGGGUUGUAAAGCUCUUUCACCGGUGAAGAUAAUGACGGUAACCGGAGAAGAAGCCCCGGCUAACUUCGUGCCAGCCGCCGCCGUAAGAC